AAUAAGUACAGCCAUUAGUUUCCGCGUCCAACUUUGAUCGUCCGUCUUAUUUGAAUUUUUUUUAUACUUAGCAAUUUUGUUGUUAUAAGAUGAUAAAACAUGAAUAGUACUUUACUCGUGACUUAUGUUUUUAAUUUUUUUCAAAAAAAUUUUCAAAUAAGACGAAUGGUUAAAGUUGGGCGCUGAAAACCAUGGCUGCACUUAUU
rfam:Oryza barthii chromosome 1, whole genome shotgun sequence.